ACGCACGCAAUCGACCGAUGCGAGUCGCCCGGGAUCGGUGCCCAGGGCUCUAGGGACGUGUGGAGGAAGACGGGAACGUUCCAACCUUGGCGCAUCUUGGAGGUCAGUUGGUCUUGCGGGAGGGCGGGGGUGGGGGGUGUCUGCUCUAUCCAGGACGCCGAAGAGGGCGCCCCCCCUUUCAAAGUCCUCAUGCUCCUCUGCAGAGUGGAUGCUAUUAUUAUAAACCCAUUCUAUAGAUGGAGAAACUGAGGCUCAGCGAGGGGCACUGAGUUGCCCAAGGUCUCAAGGGAAAAGAAACAGACGGUGGAGAGGGAUGGCUCCCUCAGGUUCAGAGAGAUGGGGAGUCCCCCCACCCCACCCCCACACACUAGACUUGGUUCUGAUCCCUAGGGGGCAACAGCACUUCAUAAUUGUGUGCUUCUGGCGGCAGAGACCCAGGUUCAAAUUCGACUUCUGAUACUAAUUGAGCAAGUGUGGGCAAGUCGUUUAACCUGCAGGCCGGGGUCUCUGUUUCCUGUGGGUGAACAGAGAGAACAGUCCCUCCUCUGAAAGCACUUUCUCGUUCACCCCAGGAGCAACACGGGCCCUCAGAGAGCUCCCCUGUGCCACCCCAAGUGCGCCGUGUGUGUGUGUGCCAUGUUUUGGUUCCUGUCGCCUGCACAACAGCCCGUGUCCUGGUUUCACAGAUGCAGACACGGAGGCAAAGAGCAGCAAAGUGGCUUCUCGAGAUCACCUGACCUGUGAGGGGCGGGUCUGGAUUUGAACCCGGGUCCUCCGCCCGACCAGAACUGCCUCCGACAUCCCUCAGCGCUUACUUAGCGCCCAGCACCGUACACGACCCACUCCCUGGGUAGCUGCUGGUACUGAUGAGGUCUGGUUCCAGGAGGGCCGCAUGGAAGUGGAAGCCAGCCUUCCGGGUAGAGGAACAGUAUUUACGAGGUUCGCCGGGGACGGAGCAGGUGCCCCAGCUUCCAGAUUCUCUGAACAUCCUGCAUAAAAGAAGCAAGUGCUUAAGCCGGUGGCACACUACAAGUUUCUAAGUUAUUUAUAAAGAGCCCGAAGUCUAGAAACUUCUAACAGGCGGAGGUGUGUUCUCCAGACUAAGAAUAGCUGACGGGAGAGGCUUUCUGGUGACAUCAGAGCACAGCAGCAGCUUGGGGGCGGGGCCGUGGUUUCCUGCAGCUUUGCAACAUCUGCCCAGGAGGGCUCCACCGUCCCUCCAGAGAGGGCCUGACGAAGGGACAGGAAGGGGUCUGGUGAUCCCGG
rnacentral:lncRNA from 1 species